UACCUCUCAGGGUCGCACCCGGAGAGUUUCCAGUCCUCUUCCAGACUCGGCUAUGGGAGGGAGAGUCAAGCAAGAAGAGGCCUAUCCAUUCCAUUCCUAGCUUGGCCAGUGGCUAGCAAGUGGAAGGCAAUCUGCUACAAGU